CGAACUCUGGUAUUGAUUGGUGCUUGCAUCAUGAUUUACAUUUGAGUGAGUGGCGAACUGGUGAGUAACACGUGGGAAACCUGCCCAGAAGCGGGGGAUAACACCUGGAAACAGAUGCUAAUACCGCAUAACAACUUGGACCGCAUGGUCCGAGUUUGAAAGAUGGCUUCGGCUAUCACUUUUGGAUGGUCCCGCGGCGUAUUAGCUAGAUGGUGGGGUAACGGCUCACCAUGGCAAUGAUACGUAGCCGACCUGAGAGGGUAAUCGGCCACAUUGGGACUGAGACACGGCCCAAACUCCUACGGGAGGCAGCAGUAGGGAAUCUUCCACAAUGGACGAAAGUCUGAUGGAGCAACGCCGCGUGAGUGAAGAAGGGUUUCGGCUCGUAAAACUCUGUUGUUAAAGAAGAACAUAUCUGAGAGUAACUGUUCAGGUAUUGACGGUAUUUAACCAGAAAGCCACGGCUAACUACGUGCCAGCAGCCGCGGUAAUACGUAGGUGGCAAGCGUUGUCCGGAUUUAUUGGGCGUAAAGCGAGCGCAGGCGGUUUU
rnacentral:rRNA from 2 species